rnacentral:rRNA from 1 species
AUGCCUAGCCUGAGGGACAGCAGCUCCUCGGUCAUCAUCCUCGACCUCGCGUCCAAGAUGAAGAUCGGCAACCUCAAGAAGGCGGCGGCGAUGUGCAAGAGCAAGACCGGCGUGCUCGCGGGCAGGCUCCUCGUCCUCACCUCGCUCCGCCGCAGGAUGGCCACCGUCGGCGCCAUCUCGCACAGGAUCCACGCGCUCAUGGUGGCCACCGAAUCGGGUAAGGACCUCGACAAGGCCCUCGGGCCGCGCAAGGCCAAGGCCGGCGGUGGCAAGCCGGCCGUCCUCGUCCAUCGUAACGCCACUGAUAUCUCUGAUCAGUUGGCGCUGUUCCAUCAAGAGGAUGGCGGCGACGGCGACGGCCCUGACUGGUCGGUGCACUCCAUCUUCGACGACGAGAAUUGUUGCUACGCCGACGAGUACGAGGGCGACGACGAUGAUGACAGCGCGCUACUCGAUGUGUGCGAUGAUAAGCAUGAUACCAGCGAGCCGUCGGUCAUGGACGUGAUCAGGAGCAACCGGAGGGUCGAGGGUUUGGAGUUCAACGUGGACGACGAGAUCGACCAGGCCGCCGGCAUGUUCAUCACUAGGUUCCGGAACCGGAUGAACGGGAGCAUAUAG